rfam:Trichobilharzia regenti genome assembly, scaffold: TRE_scaffold0001242
GUACUGAUGAGGAGUUCCAAACUAGGACGAAACAGCUGUCCAGUAC